rnacentral:rRNA from 1 species
AGAGUUUGAUCCUGGCUCAGAACGAACGCUGGUGGCGUGCUUAACACAUGCAAGUCGAACGAGAAAGUUUCCUUCGGGAAAUUAGUAAAGUGGCGCAAGGGUGAGUAUCACGUGAAUAAUCUGCCCUCGAGGUCGGGAUAACAUGGUGAAAACUAUGCUAAUACCGGAUAAGACCACAUUUCAUAAGAAAUGCGGUAAAAGGAGUCUCAAUCUUCACUCGAGGAUGAGUUCGCGCAACAUUAGCUUGUUGGUGAGAUAAAAGCUCACCAAGGCUACGAUGUUUAGCCGGCCUGAGAGGGUGAACGGCCACACUGGAACUGAGACACGGUCCAGACUCCUACGGGAGGCAGCAGUGGGGAAUAUUGCGCAAUGGGCGAAAGCCUGACGCAGCAACGCCGUGUGAGCGAUGAAGGCUUUAGAGUCGUAAAGCUCUGUCAAAUGGGAAGAAUUUUGACGGUACCAUUAGAGGAAGCCCCGGCUAACUCCGUGCCAGCAGCCGCGGUAAUACGGAGGGGGCAAGCGUUGUUCGGAAUUAUUGGGCGUAAAGCGUGUGUAGGCGGUUAAGUAAGUCAGGCGUGCAAGCCCGUGGCUCAACCACGGAAUUGCGUUUGAAACUAUUUAGCUUGAGUACAGGAGAGGAAAGUGGAAUUCCCAGUGUAGCGGUGAAAUGCAUUGAUAUUGGGAAGAACAUCUGUGGCGAAGGCGGCUUUCUGGUCUGUUACUGACGCUGAGAUACGAAAGCCAGGG